UUGAUCACCUGAGCUCCAGAUUCGAACGCUAGCGGGAUGCCUUACACAUGCAAGUCGAACGGCAGCACGGACUUCGGUCUGGUGGCGAGUGGCGAACGGGUGAGAGUAAUGUAUCGGAACGUGCCCAAUGGCAGGGGAUAACUACCGCGGCGUAGCUAACCUGCAUACCUACGGGGAAAACGGGGAUCGCAAGACCUUGCACCCUAUUGAACGGCUGAUAUCGGAUUAACUGCAGUUGGUGGGGUAACGGCUCACCAAGAGCGACUGAUCAUAACUGUGGUUGAAGGACAUUAACCACUGGGACUGAGACACGGCCCAGACUCCUACGGGAGGCAGCAGUGGGGAAUUUGGACAAUGGAAACCCUGAUCCAGCCAUCCCGCGUGCGAUGAAGGCCUUCGGGUUGUAAAAACUUUUGGCAGGAAAGAAACGUCGUGGGUUAAUACCCCUGGCUUCAUGACGUUUCACAGAAUAUGCGCCAACUAACUUCCGUGCCAGCGAAAGCCGUGGUAAUACGUAGAGGUGCAAGCGGUGUCGGAAUUCCCUGGAGAGCGCAAGCGUGCGCAGUAGUUCAGAAAAGAAAGAUGUGAAAUCCCAGAGCUUAACUUUGCGGAACUGCAGACUUUUAACUACCGGGACAGAGUGUGUCAGAGGGAGGUGGAAUUCCGUGUAGCAGUGAAAUGCGUAGAUAUGCGGAGGAACACCGAUGGCGAAGGCAGCCUCUGGGAUAACACGCUCAUGCACGAAAGCGUGGGAGUAAACCGGAUUCAGUCUAUAAAGUCCACGCCCUAAACGUCUCAACUAGCUGUUGGGGCCUUCGGGCCUUGGUAGCGUAAGCUAACGCGUGAGAUUGACCGCGCUGGGAAUGGUCGCAAGAUUAAAAACUCAAAGGAAUUGACGGGGACCCGCACAAGCGGUGGAUGAUGUGGAUUAAUUCGAUUAACACGCGAAAAACCUUACCUACCCUUGACAUGUCUGGAAUGCCGAAGAGAUUUGGCAGUGCUCGCAAGAGAACCGGAACAGGUGCUGCAUGGCUAACUAAUUAAACAGUAUAUGACGUGAUGUUGGGUUAAGUCCCGCAACGAGCGCAACCCUUGUCAUUAGUUGCUACGAAGGGCACUCCUAAUGCGGACUACCGAUGACGCAGCCGGAGGAAGUGGGAUGGCGUCAAGUCCUCAUGGCCCCACUAUGGGUGGGAGCUUCACACGUCAUACAAUGGUCGGGACCGGGGUCGCCAACCUGCAGAGGGCAAUCCAAGAAAGCUGAUCAAUCGUGGAUCGCAGUCUGCAACUCGACUGCGUGAAGUCAAGAAUCGCUAGUAAUCGCGGAUCAGCAUGUCGCCGUUGAAUACGUUCCAGGUCUUGUACACACCGCCCGUCACACCAGGAGUGGGUUUUACCAGAAGUAGUUAGCCUAACCGCAAGAAGGCGAUUAUUUGUUGGAUUUCACUGGCUGAGUGAAGUCGUAACAAGGUAG
rnacentral:rRNA from 1 species